rnacentral:rRNA from 1 species
GAUGAACGCUAGCGACAGGCCUAACACAUGCAAGUCGAGGGGCAGCACAUGAGUAGCAAUACGAUGGUGGCGACCGGCGCACGGGUGAGUAUCGCGUAUGCAACCUACCUUCCACAGGGGGAUAGCCUUCCGAAAGGGAGAUGAAUACGGCAUAAAACAGGGGCCCCCCCUGGGGAUAUUUGUUAAAGAUUUAUCGGUGGGAGUUGGGCAUGCGUUCCAUUAGCUAGUUGGCGGGGUAAUGGCCCACCAAGGCAUCGAUGGAUAGGGGAACUGAGAGGUUUAUCCCCCACACUGGAACUGAGACACGGUCCAGACUCCUACGGGAGGCAGCAGUGAGGAAUAUUGGUCAAUGGGCGGGAGCCUGAACCAGCCAAGUCGCGUGAAGGAAGACGGUUCUAUGGAUUGUAAACUUCUUUUGCACUGGGGUAAAACGGGGGACGUGUCCCCCCUUGCAAGUACAGUGCGAAUAAGCAUCGGCUAACUCCGUGCCAGCCGCCGCAGUAA